AACGAACGCUGGCGGCAUGCCUAAUACAUGCAAGUCGAACGAUCCUUUCGGGGAUAGUGGCGCACGGGUGCGUAACGCGUGGGAAUCUGCCCUUGGGUUCGGAAUAACUUCGGGAAACUGAAGCUAAUACCGGAUGAUGACGAAAGUCCAAAGAUUUAUCGCCCAGGGAUGAGCCCGCGUAGGAUUAGCUAGUUGGUGGGGUAAAGGCCUACCAAGGCGACGAUCCUUAGCUGGUCUGAGAGGAUGAUCAGCCACACUGGGACUGAGACACGGCCCAGACUCCUACGGGAGGCAGCAGUAGGGAAUAUUGGACAAUGGGCGAAAGCCUGAUCCAGCAAUGCCGCGUGAGUGAUGAAGGCCUUAGGGUUGUAAAGCUCUUUUACCCGAGAUGAUAAUGACAGUAUCGGGAGAAUAAGCUCCGGCUAACUCCGUG
rnacentral:rRNA from 1 species